CCAAUGAAUUAAGGUAUAAAUAUGACUUUAUAGCCAAAAUUCAUUAAGGGUUUUCUUUUGGAGAAAAUUGGUGAGAACUUGUCUCUCCUCUUCUCUCUAAAGAGGCCGGCCCCGUGGAGGGUGUAUCUAGCCAUACUUACUACUCCAAGGUCACUCAUUUCUUCUCCAAUCUAACCUUGGUGAAGAUACUUAGAGGUUCUCAAUUUUGGGAACUUGGAGAAACCUUUUCAUCCAUCCAAAUCAAUAGAUUUUAGAUGCAAGGAAUGAAGGCCCUCUCUUUGGGUGAUUAGCCCUUACUUAUGCAAAGAGGAAUCUACAAAGGUAUGAUGUCAACUCACUUUGUUUUUAGUUGAGUUUUGGUUCACCAACCUACUAGGCUUUGAAUUUCAUGGGUAAUGUUUUGUUUUUGAGUGCAUGCAAGCAUGAUUCCGCCUUUAAUUGUUAAUUGCAUGCUAUAUGAUGUUGCUCAAAUGAACAUGUUUUCACAAAAUCUUCCUUCAGGUGGCCGGUUUUGGAUGAGAGAAUGUGUCAUAAAACUUUUGAAUUUUUCAAAAAAAAAGUGAAAGGUGAUGGGUAGGUUUGAAAAAGUGAUUUCCAUAAAACAUGGCUCCAUGAACAUUUUUCACCCAAAGACACCCCAAAAACUCUCAAACUUAAGGGAAAAAACAUAUUACCAUACUAGGGUACUUAGGGGUUCCUAAUGUCACUUUAAAACACUUUUAACAAGACAAACAUGAACCCAAAAAAAACACCCUUUGGAUUUGGCCGAAUUUCCCCAAAAACAUGGCACCAAAUUUUAGCUCCAAAAUGCAUGCUCAUAUCAACUACAUCUACAACAUUUGAGAUGGCAAAUUUUCUAACAAAAUUUACAUUCAAAGAAGCAAGAAUAAAGCUUGUAACAAUUACAACAUUCAAAUCAUAAACUAUGAAAAUACAAAACCCAAAAGGAUUCACAAACUACUAGACCUAGGCUCUUGAUACCACUUGAAGGAAAUUUUGUGAAAAACAUGUUCAUUUGAGCAACAUUUAUGGCAUGCAAUUAACAAUUAAAGGCGGAAUCAUGCUUUUAUGCACUCAAAACAAAACAUUACCUAUGAAAUUCGAAGCCUAGUAGUUAUGUGAAACAAGACUCAACUCAAGAACAAAGUGAGUUGAGAAAUUUUAUACCUUUGUUGAUUCCUUUUUGCAUAAGCAAAGGCUAAUCACCCAAGGAGAAGGGCUUUUAUUCCUUACUUCUUAGCUCCAUGAAUUUCUUGGAUGAGGAUGGUUGAAAGGAUUCUCCAAGUUCCCAAAGUUGAGAACCUCUAAGUCUCCACACCAAGGUAGAACUUGAAGAAGAGAUGAGUGACCUAGAGGAAGUAAGAUUGCUAAUCCUCUAGGGUGGCCGGCCUCUUAGAGAGCAAAUGGGAGCUUGUGUUCUCAUCUUUUCUUCAAAAUAAACCCUUAAGGAUGAAAUGGCUAUAAAGUUGCCUCUAUACCACCUCACAAUGGAGUGGCAAACUUGCAAUUAAGCCGAGUUCACCACCCCUCUCUAUAUGGCCGCCCAUUAAGGGUUCAUUGGGCUUUCAAGUUGUCAUACAACUUGAGUUAAUGGGCUUGACAUUCAAAUCCCAUUGGGCCUUGCGGUCCAAAACUAACCCGAGGUCUAUAACGAACUUAUUCGUUUGAUUAAUUAACAUAUUUAUUAAUCCUAGCCAUAAAUAAUUAAACCAUUUAAUUAUCCUUACUCAUCUUUGUUGUUUCUUCAAUCUCUAUCUUACACAGUGUACAAUCCAUUAGGUUCCUUUUAGGGAGGCAGUGGGUGAUUAGAACUCUUUCAAAUCGAUUGUGAAAUGAAACUUACUUUCAAUUCUCCCUUUAGUGAUUAUACACGUUUAGGGCUUCCACAAACCACGAGUGACACUUAGCAGUAUGUCAUGGUUACCCAAGUUAAUCAGAAGAGGUGGAGAACCUAUUCAGUUUAGGAUUACAAUGAAAUACGAUCUUUCUCUAAUACAAUGCUGUUGACCACAUUGGUUGGUUUGAUAGUUUAUUCAUGUCUACUAUCCAAUGUGAUUCAUUUACUUAUAUGAUUACCUUGAAUGUGAUUUGGAACGACUUCCUAAAUCUCGUUCAUACUCUGGCCAGAGAUUCUUAAUCAUAUCAUAGAGUAUUCUCCCUAAAACAGUUUGAAGGUUAAAGAUCCCUUGUUGCGCAUUCACUUUCCUCCAUGGCUAAGUGGCUUAACCCCAACUAUGUCGUGGACACCCUCAGAUGGUGUGACUUUGACAUAGUCAAAGAUCAAGGACCUAACCAUAAGACAACUAUGAUGUCUUAGGUCAAAGAACUACUUUGCAUUAUCCCAACCAUGAGUUUUCAUGUGACAUGAGUAUGAGAACUCCUUGUUGAUCACGUUCAGUGAACUCAUUCUCUACUGAGUACCUACGUAAUUAUCUUGGUGUCAGUCACACCGAUGACUCGAGACUAGUCAUUCUCCCUAAGAGAAGACAUACCACGUACUGAUCUUAACGGACUGUCAAUGCCCAAUUGGCAAUCCUAUGAUCAGGAACGUUUAGGAUAUGUAUACGAAAGAGAAUGGUCUCAUGAAUCUAUCUUCUUUAGAUCACAUUCUCCCAAUUACAUAUUCCUUGGACUUAUUGUUUAAGCGUAUAACAUUUAUAUGAGAGGGCUUCAAACAACAAUCUUUGCCUUUUAAAUUAAACUAUAUUAGUUUAACAUGUGAAAUGUCCGUAAAGUAUCAUCAUAUGAUUGGUUUUAGGGCACAUUUCCAACAAUCCAAUCCAUGUCCAAAAGGGGUUAAACCUACAAUACAUAUGUAAGGGAUAAGGCUUUUAGGCUCUGUUGGUAACUAAACACCUUCAUCUUGUUAGUUAUGCAAUUAAUUUUAUGCUUUGAACAAAACCGGCAUGAGUUCUAGUAUUUGAAACUAAAAUGAUGAAAAAGCGUUCUAAGUAGCAACCAGCAAAGAAAUAAUGAGAUCAUGCAACGACUUUUGAAAACAAGAAUUUCACAGAUUAAUAACUCUCCAAACAAAGCAUAGGCUCAAGUCUCACAAGGUUGUAGCUUUAGUUUGAGUUUCUUCCUUCAAGCAUGUUACAAAAACUAAUUUUUUUUUUCUUUGUGAUUACAAGUGAUUCAUAAAUGACAACUACAACUAAGUAUUAACCAAAGAGCAUAUCAAACUUCCACCCAUGUUUGUACUUUCUGUAAUAGUCAUGCAAUUAAAAAACAAAUCCUCAUCAUUGUGUUGGAAGGUACCCUAAGACACAAACAAGAAACAAAAACGACUCUUUUUGGUUUUUUCUCAAACUUUUUCGAUAUUUUUUUCAAAAUUUUUUUUUAUGACACACAAUAAAACAUUUUAGAACACGGAAUAACAACUUUAGUAGUGAUUGGUGGUGAAAUUCAAAGAAAAGUCAUGAAAAGCAAUAUGUUUACCCCUCCACACUUAAACCAAAGAUUGUCCUCAAUGUUUCAAAAAUAAACUUCAACAAGAAAGCAAUGAAAGAAAACUAGCAAACAAGACUAUCAUGGUAAAGUAAAAACAAUAAAGAGAAGGGUAAAAGAGAGCAAAUCUAGUUGCGGGAACCAGAAAUUUCAUUGUCUCUUUAUUCAAACACAUGGGUUGCCUCCUAAGAAACGCUUGCUUUAAUGUCUUCUAGCUGGACAAUACCUCCAUUUAAGCUUCACUAAGGCCUGUGGCGUGGAGUUGAUCUUUGAAUGGAAGGUGAUACUUGAAAUGAUCCGGUAAUGGUUUAAAUUCUAGAGUCGGUGCUUGAAUCAUUGAAAUCAACAUGUUAGUAGAAAACCAAAUUGAAAUUUGAGGAGGUGACUUACCUGUCUGCUGCGACAAGAACUCAAGGAGAAAAAAUAUUUCAAAAGUUUCAGGAAUGUUCUUCUCAGCCAGAUUUGGUGUAAGGGCAGCAACUUGUCCCUUGUCAUAAAAUCCAACUUCUUUGGAGAUGGUUGUCUCAAAAAUAUCCUCUUUGAUGAAUUCUAGAUAUUCCCCAACCACUUUUUUCUCUUGAAUUGGCCUUGUUGUACAAAGCUCUUUAAAAAAUUUAGCACAUUCUAAAACUUGCUUUAUUGCAUCAAGAAGCUAGAUAUUAAUUUGCACCUUUGGAAAGGUUUCAAAUAUGUCUUUCUUUCUCUCUUCUUUCUUGGAUUGCAAAAACCUAUGAGAAAUAGGUACAUUUGGUGGAAUAGGGUUAGAAAGAAUUGAAUUUGGAACAAUCUUACUUGAAUUGGGUGGUGGUUGAGCUAGGGUGGCUACGGCACUAGGAUUACAGAUGCUUGUGUGCUGCAGCAAGGCUUCUUCUAAGCUUAUGGUGGCUGAGUCUUCCUCCUCUUCUUUGGACAGCUCUUCUUUGUCUACUUCUAGGUUAUGGUUAGACACCUUCAAAUCACCUACAACCUCCAUACCACUUCUCAAAGUUGAGCUAUGGUUAGACAUCUUCCAUUAAAUUGACAAUGGUUGAGCUAGGGUGUUUACUUUGUUCUCGAAUUUGUCCAAUGAAUUCCACGAUCUGUCCAAGUUGAUUUUUCAAUUCGACCAUCUCUUUAGCUUGGUUUUCUAAACCAUGAGUCAAAGAAGCACAAGAAUUAUUUAGUGUUUGAAGAAUUUUAACAUGAUCCAUGGAUAUAUACUUGAAUUUGGUUGGAAUUGUUAUGGGGGAGGCUGUGGUGGCUGCAUGGUCUUGAGUAGAACUCCUUAAAUGACUGCCAAUAUCCUUCUUGUAAGUGCUGGAAAACAAGUCGUUCUUUGAUUGAUUAUGGCCAUGAUAACCCUAGACAUUGACAAUUGAAGGGAAAAUUAUGAGAUUCUAGAAUGGGAUUUCAUAAAGACUAUCAUGCAUAUACAAAUCAAAUUUAAUAUACGAAAGCAGCAGAAGCAUUUAUAACAUAUUAUCAAAGCUAUAGUCAUGCAAAUCCCCUUCAAGGUUCAUAGGUUUAUAUAUAAUGCAUCAAAACAAUUUUUAGAAUCAAGAACAAAGUGAAGGUUAGUCUUAUACCUCUUGAUCUAGACUUGAGACCAAGGAUGGACCACCUCCAAGCCCUUUGCUCCUUGAAAUCCUUGAGCCUAGCUUCCCUCAUUGCCUCCUCCACUUUGUUACAAUGAGUGCUCCUAGGUUCUCUUCAAGUUCCCAAAGUAGGAAACCUCUAAAGAUCCUCACCCACUAGUGUAGUGAGAAGGAUGAAGGAAUAACCAAAAGGGGUGUAAGAGAUGUUAGUAAAAACCCCCUUAUGGUGGCCGGCCUUUGUGGUUCAAGAGAGCUAUUUUCUUUUGCCUCUUUUGUUGUUCAAAACUCACAAAAACCCUAAUGAACUUUAUCUCUAUAAAGUUCUUUAUAUAGACAAAAGAAACCUAGUCAACAACUUGACUAAAUAUCUCACCUUUCCUCACCUAAAGUGGCCGGCCC
rnacentral:lncRNA from 1 species